rnacentral:rRNA from 1 species
UACGGAGGGUGCAAGCGUUAUCCGGAUUCACUGGGUUUAAAGGGUGCGUAGGAGGGCAGGUAAGUCAGUGGUGAAAUCUUCGAGCUUAACUCGGAAACUGCCGUUGAUACUAUCUGUCUUGAAUACCGUGGAGAUGAGCGGAAUAUGUCAUGUAGCGGUGAAAUGCUUAGAUAUGACAUAGAACACCAAUUGCGAAGGCAGCUUACUACGGAUACAUUGACACUGAGGCACGAAAGCGUGGGGAUCAAACAGG